rnacentral:rRNA from 1 species
UACGAAGGGGGCAAGCGUUGUUCGGAAUCACUGGGCGUAAAGCGCACGUAGGCUGCUGUAUAAGUCAGGGGUGAAAUCUCGUAGCUGAACUGCAGAACUGCCUUUGAUACUGGGUAUCUUGAAAAUAGAAGAGGUUAGUGGAAUUGCAAGUGUAGAGGUGAAAUUCGUAGAUAUUCCAUGGAACACCAGUUGCGAAGGCAGCUGGCUAGCCCAUAUCUGACGCUGAGGUGCGAAAGCGUGGGGAGCAAACAGG